CGAGAUGUAGCCAAGUGGUAUGGCUCCGGUUUUGGGAACCGGAAAUCGCAGGUUCGAUCCCUGUCAUCUCGACCA
rnacentral:tRNA from 1 species